UACGUAGGUGGCGAGCGUUGUCCGGAAUUACUGGGCGUAAAGGGUGCGUAGGCGGGAUAUUAAGUUAGAUGUGAAAACCCGGGGCUUAACCUCGGGACUGCAUUUAAAACUGGUAACCUGGAGUACAGGAGAGGUAAGCGGAAUUCCUAGUGUAGCGGUGAAAUGCGUAGAUAUUAGGAAGAACAUCAGUGGCGAAGGCGGCUUACUGGACUGAAACUGACGCUGAGGCACGAAAGCGUGGGGAGCAAACAGG
rnacentral:rRNA from 1 species